GACAGAGGUGCAAACGUUGUUCGGAAUUACUGGGCGUAAAGCGCGUGUAGGCUGCUCUGUGUGUCGGAUGUGAAAGCCCCGGGCUCAACCUGGGAAGUGCACUCGAAACUACAGAGCUGGAGUCUCGGAGAGGAUCGGCGGAAUUCUCGGUGUAGAGGUGAAAUGCGUAGAUAUCUGGAGGAACACCGGUGGCGAAGGCGGCGAUCCUGGACCGAACACUGACGCUGAGGAGCGAAAGCCAGGGGAGCAAACGGG
rnacentral:rRNA from 1 species